GGAUACGAUCAUACCAGCAGUAACGCACCAGUUCCCAUUAGAACUCCGAAAUUAAGAGUGCUUGGGCGAGAGUAGUACUAGGAUGGAUGACCCCUUGGGAGGUCCUUGUGUUGCAUCCC